rfam:Pan troglodytes isolate Yerkes chimp pedigree #C0471 (Clint) chromosome 20, whole genome shotgun sequence.
GCCAGGUAUGGUUGUGCAUACCUGUAGUCCCAGCUUCUUGGAAGGCUGAGGCAGGAGGAUUGCUUGAGCCCAGGAGAUCUCGGCUACUGUGAGCCACAAUUGUGCCACUGCACUCCAGCCUGGGCGACAGAGUGAGACCCUGUCUCAA